UACAGCAAAUAGCUCUCUCAUCUUGCCU
rnacentral:sRNA from 1 species